rnacentral:misc_RNA from 1 species
AACGCACAUUGCGCCCCCUGGUAUUCCGGGGGGCAUGCCUGUUCGAGCGUCAUUAAACCCCUCAAGCACAGCUUGGUGUUGGGCGCAGGCCUCCCCCGGCCCGCCCGUAACCCGUUGGCGGUAGGCACCGGCCCCGAGCGUAGCAGAAAUCCUCGCUCCGCGGCCCGGCGCCUGCCCGCCAGGAAAACCACAACCUAGAAUUUGACCUCGGAUCAGGUAGGGAUACCCGCUGAACUUAA